AUGGAGCUCGUUGAAGAGAAGAUUAGAGAAUUCAUCAAAAGCAACGAAAGGGCGAAGUGGAGACCAGUGAACAAUCAUAAUAUAAAUAACUUCACAGAAGAUGAGAUUAAAAUGAUUACCAAGAACUACAGAAACCCCAUAGGCAAAGGUGCCUUUGGAGAAGUUUACCGAGGCGUUCUUGAUGAUGGUAGUACAGUUGCAGUCAAGAAAUAUAUCUGCCAGAAUUUGAAAGACGGGUUUGCUAAGGAGAUAACUGUUCAUUGCCAAAUCAACCACAAGAAUGUUGUUAGGCUUUUGGGCUACUGUUUAGAAGAAAAUGCUUUAAUGAUGGUCACUGAGUAUAUCCCUGGAGGAAACCUCAAAGAUCUUCUCCAUGGCAGCGAUGAUCACAUUUCUUUAGAUGCAAGGUUGGGUAUUGCUAUAGAAUGUGCUGAGGCAUUAGCAUGCAUGCAUUCAUUGUCUCAACCAAUCAUUCAUGGUGAUAUCAAACCUGAUAACAUACUUCUAGAUGAGAACUGGGGUGCAAAAUUAUCUGACUUUGGAAUAUCAAGAUUGCUUUGCAUGGACGGAACUGAUUACACCAUGCACGUAGCAGGAAGCAGAGGUUACAUGGAUCCAGAGCUCUUUGAAACUGGACGCGUCGAUCCUAGAAAUGAUGUUUACAGUUUCGGGGUUGUUAUGGUAGAACUUGUUACCAGAGCAAAGGUAAAUGAGAAUGGCAUGAGUACCGGAGUCACGAGAAACUUCACUCAAGCUAUUGAAAAGGGGAAAACAGCAAGAACGAUGUUUGAUACUAAAAUAGCAAGCGUGAGCAACAUGAAAGUUCUGUACAAGAUAGGGAAGCUUGCAGCUGAAUGUCUCAGAAGGGAUAUAAAAAAUCGCCCUGAAAUGAAGGAUGUUACAGAACGUCUCCGGGCUCUUAGAAAAGCUUACUGCCAGCAAGAUCAAGAAAAAACAGGUCAGUGGUCAAUGAAAAAUGUGAACCGAAAAGGACAAAGCAUUUCCGGUUCUAAGUCUACUAUGCUGUACAAGCUGAACAAUUUGGGCAUGUUUAGUAUUUGGAACGCACGCAGGAAUUUCAUGAGGAAUGCAGGUCCGACAGUAGACCAAAUACAAAACCUGAGGGUUUUCACAAAAGAAGAAAUAAGAAAAAUCACCAAUGGUUAUUCAUCAGAUGUAAUUGCCAAGUGCUCAUCUUGUGAGGUCUACAGAGGGACUCUUGAGGACAACAAAUUGGUGGGCGUGAAUAUAGAGACUGUGAUGGUAGAUGAAGCCCAUAGUGAACACUUUAUAAAUAGCAUGCUCAUCUAUUCUACCAUUCUCCAUAAUAACAUGGUCAAACUAUUGGGUUGUUACCUGGAGGCGGAUGUCCCAAUAUUGGUGCAUGAGUUCGCUGCAAAUGGGAAUCUCCAGGACAUCCUUCGUGGCAACUACAGCUUCCCGCUUGGUAUACGUCUAGACAUCGCAGUUGGAUGCGCGGAAGCGUUAGCAUAUCUGCAUUCAAAAUCCUUUGCAUUUGUGGGUGCUAACAUCACACCCGCCAACAUACUGCUAGAUGACAGUUUGGUACCAAAGGUCUCGGGGCUUCUCUUCAUAUGUCACGGCAUCACUAGUACAUCAAGCGAUGUUUACUGCUUUGGAACUCUCCUCUUGGAACUUAUAACCAGGAAACAAGGAGGGUAUCGCAACAACAGCCCGCAGGAACUUAGGAAAGCUUACAUGAAAGAAGGGCACACCAUGUUUGACAAGGAGAUAGCGGCGAAGGCAAACAUGUUCAUACUUGAAAGGAUCCAGAUGGUUGCAAUGGACUGUUUGAAACUGGAUGAAUUAGCGCGACCGAAAAUGGCAGAGGUGGCAGAGCGGCUUCUGAGGCUUAAAAAUGUCGAAAGCAAGGGAAGCGAACUGCAGGAGCUCUCGAUGUUGAGGAGGUUGGUGGCUUCCAGUAUCAGCAAAGCUAGAGAAAACACUACCCCGGCCACCUGA
rnacentral:rRNA from 1 species